AUUGAACGCUGGCGGCAGGCCUAACACAUGCAAGUCGAGCGAGCGGCGGACGGGUGAGUAAUGUCUGGGAAACUGCCUGAUGGAGGGGGAUAACUACUGGAAACGGUAGCUAAUACCGCAUACCAUCAGAUGUGCCCAGAUGGGAUUAGCUCGUAGGUGGGGUAACGGCUCACCUAGGCGACGAUCCCUAGCUGGUCUGAGAGGCUGACCAGCCACACUGGAACUGAGACACGGUCCAGACGCCUACGGGAGGCAGCAGUGGGGAAUAUUGCACAAUGGGCGCAAGCCUGAUGCAGCCAUGCCGCGUGUGUGAAGAAGGCCUUCGGGUUGGAAAGUACUUUCAGCGAGGAGGCGUUACUCGCAGAAGAAGCACCGGCUAACUCCGUGCCAGCAGCCGCGGUAAUGC
rnacentral:rRNA from 1 species